rnacentral:rRNA from 1 species
UCAGGAUGAACGCUAGCGACAGGCUAACACAUGCAAGUCGAGGGGCAUCACGGGAGUAGCAAUACAACUGGUGGCGACCGGCGCACGGGUGAGUAACGCGUAUGCAACCUACCUAUCAGAGGGGAAUAACCCGGCGAAAGUCGGACUAAUACCGCAUAAAACAGGGGCACCGCAUGGUGAUAUUUGUUAAAGAAAUUCGCUGAUAGAUGGGCAUGCGUUCCAUUAGGUAGUUGGUGAGGUAACGGCUCACCAAGCCGACGAUGGAUAGGGAACUGAGAGGUUGGUCCCCCACACUGGUACUGAGACACGGACCAGACUCCUACGGGAGGCAGCAGUGAGGAAUAUUGGUCAAUGGGCGGGAGCCUGAACCAGCCAAGUCGCGUGAAGGAAGAAGGAUCUAUGGUUCGUAAACUUCUUUUGCAGGGGAAUAAAGUGCAGGACGUGUCCUGUUUUGUAUGUACCCUGAGAAUAAGGAUCGGCUAACUCCGUGCCAGCCGCCGC